GAGUUAGAGGCUGAAGGAGGGACUGGAGGAAAGGGUGCAAGAGGGAAGGAGAUGGGAACGGUGGAUGAAACGUACUUUCCUGAGAAUACGAGGACUCACGAGGUUAUGGUUCGACGAACGAGUACCUACGCAGUCACUCUUUCCGCAUCCUUGAGCCCAUACGACUCACUCUCUCUCAUCGAAUUCGUUUCUAGAGAGGAGAGAGGAGUAAUGAGAGGGAAAAAUCGAGCGCUCGCUUGUAGGAUUAGAUAAAACGCCGAGUGAAAGUCUAUGGACAACGUUGAGAAUACUGCAGUGAUGUUUCUUCUCAAAAGAAAGGAACAGAAGGAAAGAAGGAAGGAAGCAAAGAAAGAAAGAAAGAAAAAAGAAAAAAGAAAGGAAGAGAAACAAAAAAUGAAAAAAAUAAAAAGGAUUCGCACGCAAACAUCGAUCCAGCCCGAAGUUCUUUUCGUUGGUAAAUAUCUGUUCUGUCGAUCCAGCCAGUUAGUUUGAUGAACUCUCAAGUAUAGUCCAAUGAAUUUGAAGAGAUAAAACCUACUUGCUGCUGCUGACCAAGCUACUGGUAAAAUAAUAUUCUUUUAUAUAAGAUAGUUGAUGCAUAAAUUUUACUUUUUAAUUAACUAUAUCUCAUUAAACAAAAAAAGGAAAAGAAAACACGUAAAAUAUCUUCAUGGUUUUUUUCGAACGAACAACAUAGAGAUGAUAUAAGCAAAGAAGAUAUAAUCAAGAAAAUCUUUCAUUCAAAAUUAAGUUUUUCGCAAAUAUAUAAAAAUAAUAAUAAAAUUAUAGAGAUUUUAAUUGAGACAUUGUUGCAAUUAAUAAAAACAAGA